UUCUCAGUGGUCCAGUGGUUAAGACUCCAUGCUCCCAAUGCAGGGGGUGCAGGUUCCAUUCCUGCUUGGGGAA
rnacentral:tRNA from 1 species